rnacentral:rRNA from 1 species
CCGGUUGAUCCUGCCGGACCCUACUGCUAUCGGGAUGGGACUAAGACAUGCUAGUCGUGCGCUUCUAAGCCAUGGUGGAGGCGCGGCGCACAGCUCAGUAACACGUGGCUAACCUGCCCUCGGGACGGGAACACCCCCGGGAAACUGGGGCUAAUUCCCGAUAGGUGAAGAACUCUGGAAUGAGUCUCCGCCCAAAAGACGUUCAGGUCAUGCUCCUGAAUGCCGCCCAAGGAUGGGCCGCGACCGAUCAGGUUGUUGGUGAGGUAAUGGCUCACCAAGCCUUUAACCGGUUCGGGCCGUGGGAGCGGGAGCCCGGAGAUGGGCACUGAGACAAGGGCCCAGGUCCUACGGGGCGCAGCAGUCGCGAAAACUCCGCAAUACGCGAAGGCGUGACGGGGCUAUCCCGAGUGCCGUCCGCUGAGGAUGGCUUUUCCCCAGUGUAGAUAGCUGGGGGAAUAAGGAGAGGGCAAGUCUGGUGUCAGCCGCCGCGGUAAUACCAGCUCUCCGAGUGGUGGGGACGUUUAUUGGGCCUGAAGCAUCCGUAGCCAGCUGAGCAAGUCCCCAGUUAAAUCCAGCGAUUUAAUCGUUGGACUGCUGGGGAUACUGUCCGGCUUGGGGGUGGGAG